UUUCCGUAGGUGAACCUGCGGAAGGAUCAUUCAUAAUAAGUGUUUUAUGGCACUUUUUAAAUCCAUAUCCACCUUGUGUGCAAUGUCAGGGUUGAUUUUUCUCUCGAGAGGAUCAACCCCAAACAUUAACUAUAUCUCAACUCUUUGUCUGAAAAAUAUUAUGAAUAAAACAAUUCAAAAUACAACUUUCAACAACGGAUCUCUUGGCUCUC
rnacentral:misc_RNA from 1 species